rnacentral:rRNA from 1 species
UACGGAGGAUCCAAGCGUUAUCCGGAAUCAUUGGGUUUAAAGGGUCCGUAGGCGGUUUAGUAAGUCAGUGGUGAAAGCCCAUCGCUCAACGGUGGAACGGCCAUUGAUACUGUAGUACUAUGAAUUAUUAGGAAGUAACUAGAAUAUGUAGUGUAGCGGUGAAAUGCUUAGAGAUUACAUGGAAUACCAAUUGCGAAGGCAGGUUACUACUAAUGGAUUGACGCUGAUGGACGAAAGCGUGGGUAGCGAACAGG